rnacentral:rRNA from 1 species
GGCGGCCACAGCGACAGGGAAACGCCCGGUCCCAUUCCGAACCCGGAAGCUAAGCCUGUCAGCGCCGAUGAUACUGCCCU